rnacentral:tRNA from 1 species
GCCUGGGUGGCUCAGUCGGUUGAGCUUCUGACUUCGGCUCAGGUCAUGAUCUCACGGUCCGUGAGUUUGAGCCCCGCGUCGGGCU